AAUGAAAUUAAAUAAGCUUGUCGUAUAAAUUCAGGAAUAUGGCCUGAGAGUCUCUACCGGUUCACCGUAAAUGAUCCGACUACGAUUUUUUGUCCGCCUUAU
rnacentral:ncRNA from 1 species